ensembl:lncRNA
GCUGAAUACACCCCCAUGUUGCUGGCUGCUAGCAGUCUUUGCUUAAUUUUCGUUUGUUUGAACUUUUUUCUAUUGACAUUUAUUAGCAUAUCCUAUCCUAGGACCUAUGUGAUGUGUAACUUCGCUUGAUUCUGUUGGACGUCAGUGCUCUGCCCAGCUACAAAAUAGCUUGCAAACUCGCUAGUUAGUUUGUAGUUUUAUUUGCUAGCUAGCUAGUUAGCUAACGUUUCCCUGUACUGAAGUUAGAGCCCCUUGCCAAAUUUCAAAAGGGAUGAAAUGCCAGGCUCACUGUGUAUACAGUGUCAGACACAAACCACUGUGUUUAGUAAGACCUGCAACAGUUGUUUCUUUAACCAUCCAAAAGAGAUGAUGUUACAAGCGUUGAAGAAGUAUGAUUACAAAUGGGAACACAAUGAUUGCACCCAUUAUAAUAAUAGCUCUCAGAUAUUGACUUCCACUAAAGUAUUGCUCUACAAAUUACAUACUCUGGGAUUUGUUCCCCUUCUCCUGCUUGGAAAAAGGAGAAAUGGAACAAAACAUAUCGAUAUGGAUUCCUUUUGCCCUCACCCUCAAGUCAUAAAAGAAACAGGCUCUAUUGAAACCUUGAGAAAUAUUUAUUUAGGUCUUCUGAAUGUCACACUCGGCACCGAGUCCCAAUGCCAGUGCUCCCCAGUGUCUUCAGAGCCAGACGGGACCCCCGCACCAGCCAAGGUAGAGGGAGCCCCUACAACAAUCGAUCCCGUGGAAACCCCUGCACCAACAGAGCUACACAGAAUACCCAUAUCCAUCCGACUGAACAUAAUACCCACACCAACAGAGACGUGCAAACACAACACACUAAUCAAUCCAGUGGAAACCCCAGCACCAACCAUGCGAGACGGAAUCCCCAUAUCUUUACGACGGAACCUAAUCCCCACACCAACAGAGCCAGGCAAACCAUCCACACCAACCAAUCCAGUGGGAAUCCCUAAACCAACCAAUCUAGUUGGAACUCCUACAGCAAUUGAUCCAUCAGGAACCCCUGCACCAACUAUGCUAGACAGAAUCCCCACAUCCAUCAGCCUGAACAAAAUCACCACACUAACAGAGCCAGGCAAACACUCCACAUCAACCAAUCCUGUGGGAACCCCUUCACCAAUUAAUUCAGUGGGGACCCCUGCACCAGCCGAGCUUGAUGGACUCCCCACACCAACAGACCCAGGAAAACCCUCCACAUCAACCAAGCUAGACGGAAUCCCCACAUACAUCUGCCUGAAUGGAAUCCCCACAUCCAUCUGCAUGAACGGAACCCCCACCUCAAUACAGUCCAAAAUCCCCAGACCAAUACAACCUAAAAUUCCCCACACCAAUACAGCCAGGCAAACCCUCCACACAAAAUAAUCCAGUGGGAACCUCUAUACCAAUUGAUGAAACAUCUGACUCCUCUGAGCACCAGGACCAAGAAAUGCAAAGAAAAAUGUGGACAGAUGGAGAUCUAAUCGUUGCUGAAGACGGUGCAACCAUUCAAGCACAAAAGAAAAUCAAAACAACAGAAGAGUCGCUGAACAUGGAUACGGAUAGGCCCAUGGUGUCAAGACAUGCAGAGGUAGACACUGAAGUAUUAGAUCAAUUAGAAAAGAGCAGCAUUGUACAAGCAACCAACAAGCAAACUUUGUGGGCUAUAAACUGCUUUAAGGACUGGCUGGCAGAGAAACGGAUGAUAGUGGAUUUUUCAACCAUUGAGAAAUCUGAAAUGAAUGUACUCUUGUGAGAUUUUUACUGUUCUGUUCAAAGGGGUAAAGGUGGGGAGUAUUGCAUCCCAAGCUAUAUCGGAAUCCGGGCUGGCGUGAACAGAUUCAUUAACCUCCCUCCCCUUAGCAGAUCCUGGUGCUUGAUGAAGGACAGUGAAGAAACUAAAGAAACUCAGACGAGAGGGCAGGGACAAAACUACCCAUCCAAAGGUGAUUACAGCACAAGACCUUGAGAUUCUUCAAAACUCUACUGUGCUAAGCCCCUACACACCCAGAGGACUAGUGAACCAAGUGUGGUUUGAUAUCCAGUUACACUUUGGCCCCAGAGGAAAAGAGGGCAAUAGACGGCUAACGCCACAGUCGUUUGUAAUAAGGUACGAUGAAAACGGAGCAAAAUAUGCAACGCUGACUUCCAAAGAAGAAAGACUGAACCACAAAGAUGCAGAACUGGCAGAAUCGCUGUGGAAUCAUGUUUCAGAACCCUGAUAGUCCACUCUGUCCAGUCGCCUCCUUGGAGAAGUAUCUGAGCAAGAUCCCGCCAGAUGCCACCGUCCUCUACCUCCAUCCUAUUAAGAUGGUCAUCACCAGUGACAGCAUGUGCUAUAGCCAGGAGCCAAUGGGGUUUAACUACCUUUCAUCAAUGCUUCCCCCGACUGUGCCAGGUUUGCUUUUUUUCAAGCAAAUUUCGGAACAUUUUAAUAUUCGCUAAAUAGCUAAGUUGUACUCAUAACUCAACCUGUUGUUGCUUCUUGGCUCACUCACUCUCUUUUUCUCUCUCUAGGAGGCUGGUACAUUGGAAAAGUACACAAACAAUUGCUUCCGAACUUUGCGCGAGAUCAUGUCUGUCAGCAGACUGAUAGUUCCUUGAAGAGUGUCGUAGCUGAAUCAGAAUGAGUUAGGUAACAUAGAUAAAUAAGAUGUUUUAAUUAUUUUAUACUUGUCAUUAGAAUGUCUUCUUUUGGACUAUACUGUUGGCAGUUGCAUUUUCCUCUCUUCUCUAGGGAAAAGUCACUUGGGGCCCAGAGAGGGGAGAGGUCAGGCUUGUCUUUUACAUGUCUGGUAAUAGGCAGAAUAUCAGAAAGGGAAAAGUCAGGUUUAAACAUUGUCUUCAUAAUGAAUAUAUCUGUUAAACCAUGUGAAGGGCUCCACCAUGUCUGUACUCCAGUCACUCCCUCCUUUUUCCAUUGGGGGGAGGAGUAUGGUAAUGUCUGGAACCAUUGUAUGUCCCUCUGUUGCCCUUAUCUUGAUUUAGUAUAUGACCUAGAGGCUCACUACCCUCCGGGAGUUUGUCCAGGAGGGGUGUAUUUGAGAUGGGAGUAUCUAGAACUGACAAUUGAUAUAUGCCAUUGGAUGAGGUAAUGUUUUGGUAAUAUGAAGUUUUUUUAUUUAUUUUUAUUUCACCUUUAUUUAACCAGGUAGGCUAGUUGAGAACAAGUUCUCAUUUGCAACUGCGACCUGGCCAAGAUAAAGCAUAGCAGUGUGAACAGACAACACAGAGUUACACAUGGAGUAAACAAUUAACAAGUCAAUAACACAGUAGAAAAAAAAGGGGAGUCUAUAUACAUUGUGUGCAAAAGGCAUGAGGAGGUAGGCAAAUAAUUACAAUUUUGCAGAUUAAUAACACUGGAGUGAUAAAUGAUCAGAUGGUCAUGUACAGGUAG